rnacentral:rRNA from 1 species
UGGGGAAUAUUGGACAAUGGGCGAAAGCCUGAUCCAGCCAUGCCGCGUGUGUGAAGAAGGUCUUCGGAUUGUAAAGCACUUUAAGUUGGGAGGAAGGGCAUUAACCUAAUACGUUAGUGUUUUGACGUUACCGACAGAAUAAGCACCGGCUAACUCUGUGCCAGCAGCCGCGGUAAUACAGAGGGUGCAAGCGUUAAUCGGAAUUACUGGGCGUAAAGCGGGCGUAGGGUGUUUGUUAAGGUGGAUGUGAAAUCCCCGGGCUCAACCUGGGAACUGCAGUCAAAACUGACUGACUAGAGUAUGGUAGAGGGUGGUGGAAUUUCCUGUGUAGCGGUGAAAUGCGUAGAUAUAGGAAGGAACACCAGUGGCGAAGGCGACCACCUGGACUAAUACUGACACUGAGGUGCGAAAGCGUGGGGAGCAAACA